rnacentral:rRNA from 1 species
AUGCACGCUGGCGGCGUGCCUCAUCCCUGCAAGUCGCGCGCACAGACGAGGAGCUUGCUCCUCUGACGUUAGCGGCGGACGGGUGAGUAACACGUGGAUAACCUACCUAUAAGACUGGGAUAACUUCGGGAAACCGGAGCUAAUACCGGAUAAUAUAUUGAACCGCAUGGUUCAAUAGUGAAAGACGGUUUUGCUGUCACUUAUAGAUGGAUCCGCGCCGCAUUAGCUAGUUGGUAAGGUAACGGCUUACCAAGGCAACGAUGCGUAGCCGACCUGAGAGGGUGAUCGGCCACACUGGAACUGAGACACGGUCCAGACUCCUACGGGAGGCAGCAGUAGGGAAUCUUCCGCAAUGGGCGAAAGCUUGACGGAGCAACGCCGCGUGAGUGAUGAAGGUCUUCGGAUCGUAAAACUCUGUUAUUAGGGAAGAACAAAUGUGUAAGUAACUAUGCACGUCUUGACGGUACCUAAUCAGAAAGCCACGGCUAACUACGUG